rnacentral:lncRNA from 1 species
AUCAUAAAGCUUUUCUGGAAAGACGCAACCAUUAUGUUUGUCAUCAAAGGUAGAUCUAAGAACCCAUGUCUCAAGAGUCAAGAUUACUUCCCAAAUUUUUUAUUAAUUCUGCAAAUUAGUUCAUAAAACACACUAAACAAAACUAGAAAAAUAACAAACAUUAUUAGCAACAAUUUUGUCAAACAGUUGGUGUGCAACAAUUCUUCACCAUUUCUUCAUCUUCAUUCUCAUCCCAAGACCCAUACAAAAUCGAUCUAGGAGACCCAUAACACCCACCUUGACUUUCCUUAACAAACCCAUAAUACAUCAUCAAACCACCAUUUCCAAGAUCUUCAAAGCUCGAUUCUUUAACACCAUAACCCAUUUCCAUGCAACGAUACAUAAAAUUCAAUGUGUUUGAAACAACUCAACACCCUUUUGACCAGAAGAGUUAAAUCGAUUGAUGAUUGAAACAACUCAACACCCUUACCUAAUAAGCCGCUUAGCACUCACUUUCAAAAUCGAUUAAAGAUGAAGAGGAUUAGUAGUGGUGGAAGAAGAAGUUGUUCGUGGAUUGAAGGAGAAGGAGAAAGAAGAAGUCACGCCGUUUAGGAGCAAAGAGAUAGAGAAGGGCAAAUACGUGAAACUAGUGCGAAGGACCGAGUCAGCUACUUUUUCUUUGAGGACCGAAUCAGUGGUUGUGGACUGAAUCAGGUGUGCAAAGAACUCUAAUCAAACAAGCUGACCAGCUGACCCGGACCGAGUCAGAAAAAAAGGUCUGACUGGACCGAGUUAACUGUAUGUUUGGCAAUUAAAUCAACAAGGAAUCUUACGAUUAACAACAUUAAGGAACAACUUUCUAUUUAGCAUUCUCUUAUGUUGUAAUUAAGAUCACAGGGAGCUCUGUAAUAUGCAGGCAUGGUCGAAGGGAAGAACAUCUGACGUACUCCUUCCGCUUUUAUGAUCGGAAAUAUGAUUCCAGAUGCACCCUGCAUCAUUUUAAUGGUAUGCCAAUUUUUAGAUUUUAGAUUUCAAUUUUAUUAAAAGGGAAAUCUCUGAUAAAAUCCUAAUAUUUUAGGUCAAUUUACGAUUUAGUCCCAAAUUAAAUUUUGUUUACAAAAAUAGACAGAUUACCGGCUAAAACUUCGGAAUAACCCUUCGUGGCCGGUUUCACAGAUUUAGCCGAUAUCUCGUCUUUUUUCGUUAAUUAAUCCAAAUUUUGGGGCUUUUUCAUUAAUUAAUCAAAAUUUUAGGGCUUUUUCAUUAUUUAUUACCAAUAAACCAAAAUAUUUGGACUUUUCUGAAGACUACCUUUAAACUAAUAUAUAUUAUAUGAUCUAACUUAAUAUGUACCAUUCCCUGUCUUCUUUCUUACGCUCUUCUAGGCGCACCGUAUGUUUUUAUUGUCGUCGUCAAACCCAACAACAAAAAUCUCACUCACAAGCAUUGUUAACUCCAUCGAUUUUCCAAAAUCAUCCAUUCAUAACUCUACGAUCAUCUUUCAAUCUCCAAAUGAAGAAAUGAGAAAAUCAUUGUUGAUUAUGUGGAUGCCCCUAUUACCUAACCAUGACUUAAACCAUGGUUCCAAUACUCAGAUGUUCCUAUUACCUAACCAUGACCUGAAUCCUAUUUCGAACCCAUACACUAUUCGUAUUGUCCAUAGUGUUGUUCACAACAAAAUACGAAUCCCACAUGGUUUAACCACUGAUACCUUGGCUCAAGUCUUACAUGACCCUUGUUUCCUUACAAUAGGGCUUGAAAACCAUGAAGAAUGUUAACUCUAAUUGUUAAAAAAAAAAGUCAGCAAGCUAUCCAUCAUAAACUAUUAAAAAUAUUAAUUUGGUAUUCCUACGAGCUACGGUUCCAACACUUGGAUGUUCCUAUAACCUAACCAUGACUCAAACCUUAUUUCGAACCCAUACACUAAGGCAUUGACCAUAGUUUUGUUAACAAGAAAAAUUGAAUCCCACAUGGUUUAACCACUGAUACCUUGGCUCAAGUCUUACUUGACCCUUGUUUCCUUACAAUAUGUGUAACAUCCCAACUCUCAGGUAUAAUAUUUAAUUAAUUUAUAUUCUUGUUGUCUGAUAAACUUGACGAGUUGAAGGCCCCAACUUGCCGAGUAGAGAGUGUUAAUGGUCGCGUAAUUUCUAGAGUCUACUCGACGAGUUGGAGGAUCCCAACUCGACGAGUAGGAGCUAAGUGUGAAAACCCUAAUUUUCAGGGUUUGUGUCCUAUUUAAAGGACAUUAAGCCUUCAUUUUCGCCUCCCUUAUCAUCUUAACACUCUAAGAGAAACCCUAAUCGAGCUAUAUGCUUGUAGGAGAGAAAGAGGGGCUAAUAUUGCAUAUUGUAGUGCAUUUUUGGAAGAAGAUUGAGGAGAAAAAGGCUUGGGACGAGAAGGAGCUCUUGGAUCCAAUGUUCUUUCAUUGCUAGCUUUUGUUUGAAGGUAAAAAGCUACCACCUUGAUCAUUGUUUGGUUAGAUCUCUUUUCUAGGGAGUUUAUGGCCUUUUUCCAUCCUUCUUUGGGUCCUUGUGUUGUUUGAGCUUGCCAUGGAGUUGAGACUUCAGAUUUGAACAAUAUGAGGUCCCUUGAGCCUAAAGAUCCAAGCUUUAUCAAGCUAGUGGCAAGCUUUCAUGCAUUAAGCCCUCUAUAGAGCUUGUUUUGGCAUUUUGAGCCCUGGAUGCCAUGCAUGGACGUAAAGCUUGCAGCUUUAUGUGGUUUUUCAGCAUUGGGAGGCUAGAUCUAGAGUAUGGGACCUUAGUUCUGCAUAAAAACGCCUAAAUGAGAAAAGGGACUUAAGGGACUCGACGAGACGCAUGACCGGAGGGUCCAUGCCGAGUUAUAGCCAUGAGAGGCUUAUUAUUUGUGUAUGUGGUAUUUUGGGGAACUCACUAAGCUUCGUGCUUAUCGUGUUGUGUGAUAUGUGUUUCAGGUACUUCUCAGGAUCGCGGGAAGGCGGCAGCUUGAUUGUACACAUCAGUUAGAAAUCAUGAUUUGAGGAUUCUAG